UGAUUUUGAGGAGGACAGAACGAUAUUGUUGUUGAUGGCAUAUAGUUUAACAGCAGGAUUGUUGGCUUUUCUCAGGAAUACUAAGUAAAAGUAGUAACUAAGAGAUGGAUUAUAUCGAAAUGGAGUCUUUGCAGUUGUUAAUUAUUAUUUAUAUAAUGUAGAAUGGAACUGCUAAUGCAAAGUGUUUCCCAGUCCAGCAGCUUUUAAAUUGGAAAAGUGUCUUUUUCAGAUAUGUGAUUAGGUUUGUACUUAUUUGCCAAAUGCUAUUUAAAGAAGAUAUAAACUGGAUAGACGCAGGUAUAAACUGCAGUCUGUGAAGGAGCUACUGAAGCUGAAUGUGAGAAGAAGGGAGCACCUCUAGAAAAAGCCAGGAGGAAGCUACUGAAGCAAAAACUUCUGAGAUAUUCAGAGAGCAAAUACUAUUUUAAAUGUGUGUAUAUACCCAGUACCAUUAAAAUCACAGAUUAAAUGCAAUUGGUUUCAUGCCUGUCAUUUAGAAAAAGCUCAUUAGUUCCAGAGUUCUGCUGCAACAAGGACCUGUCAUCCCUUAUCAAGUUCAGCUGUGAAACCCCAGAGCUCAGAGAAGACAAGGUGACUGUCUUGCUAGAGAAGUCCCGCAGGGAGUUCGUGUGACUAGCAGACUUUGAAGGGCAGCCCAGCUCUCCUAGAUGGGGAGCUCCCUUGAGGCCUUUCCAAGCUUCUCCAGGAAUUAGAAUGGAUCUGCUUACGGGGGGCUUCAUAGCUGGUCAGAGGAAGUGUUUUCGAAAAGUGCAUAUUUGCUCCCCUGUUGGAUAUUACUCCUGUUGAAGGAAUCCAGACAACCAGCUGACAUGCAGCUCUUUUCUGUCACCCAGACUAUCAGGAGAAACCUGGACCUGCCAAGUGCUGAGGUUGUUGGGGUAGCUGUUGAGCAUGGGGCCCCACCUGUGCCAAGGUGAGCACUGCAGCUCAGGUGGCACCGUUGCACCCCCUUGGCGUGUCCUACAGCAAACCCCGGGGAGCCAGGGAGAGCCAAGUGACUUGCUCGAGAUCACAUGGAAAAACAGACAUCGGUAGAGUAAAACGUUGUUCAUUUAUCAAAAGGAAAGUUAAGAAGUUAGGUAUGUAUAAACUCAACUGAUUUAAGCAUUUAGAAGACUUUAAGUAGUUAAAAUUUACAUGUCCUUUAUUAAUAUAAAUUUGAAAUGAGAUAAGAAUUCUUUACUUGUUACAAAGGAGAAUGAAAGCACAAGAAUGACAAAUUGAUGUAUGAGAAGCAAUAUAUGAGAUGUGACUGAUAAAUUAUCUUCUGAUAUGUUAAUGAAUUCCAGUCAGAGAACUUGGCAAUAUGAUGAUUUAUUGAGAUUUUUAAUAAAGUAAAUUAAAAAUUGAAAGGUGAUCUGAAUGAAAGAAUCCCCAGGAAUCUUCUGGGGAGGGAAAAAGAAAAGUUUGAACAUUUAAAGAAGCAUUUUAUAGAUGGAGACCCUGACAUUUGCAAAUUUGCAUUUUAAAUAGGUACAUCUGAAAAAGCUACAGAGCCUCCAGUCAGGACCAUUUCUCCUAUUCUUCAAUAGAAAUAACAAUUUUAAAAAUAUUUAUUUAUAAAAUGCGCUGCACUCUUGCAUGUACCAAAAUGUUCAUUUUCUUACAGCAAGAAAAUUCUGCAUGCACUUGACAUUGAAGGAUAAUACACAGUUAGAUACAGGAAGAGUGGAGUAAAUUAGAUAUUUAUGAUUAAAACUUAUUAGGCAAGGGAAAUAGUUACCUAGGACAUCUUCAAAGAAAACUAAUGUUGGAAUGCUAAUUCUUCUGUGCUUUGCUCUUCUACAAGAAACACAAGGAAGGAACUAUACAGAAAAUGAGAAGCUAUUACUUUGGCAGGGAAACGUGUAGUUUGAGCAGCCAGUUCAAACCAAUAGUCAUUCUUAUCAGCCGAGUAAAACUCAUACAGCUCAGACGUAUCUUGAAAAUCCAAGACCAUCUGCUACGAAUUUAGGUUGUCUGAAAAUGUUUCAUUGGUUCAUCAUCUAAUUUAACCUGUUUGGCUGUUGCAUUCAUGUUAUUUUGUAUGGUUAGAAGCCCAUUAUAGAAAGUAAGUGUAAGUGAAAGAACACUAAAUAUACUAAAUACUAAAGAAUAUUUCUAAAACUGACAGUAUCCUGUUUACAUUAUUUUUUUUCCCAUCCAACAUUGCUCUAUGUUGUUUUAAUACCAUAAUCUGUGAUGUCUCAAAAUAAAAGAUGAAUUUAAGUACAUUCCCUGUAACAUAUAUAAGGCGCCAGGGAAACAGUAUCCACUUGAUAUUUCUGUUUAGUGGUCUUGCACAGUGUGUCAGUGUGCUUUACUUUUCAACACAUUAUUCCUUUUUUAAAAUAAAGAACUAUUUAGCAUGCUCCUCCUAACCCUAACAACCCCCGCCCUCCCUGGUAUCUAAGUAAAUAUGCACCAGGCCACAAUAGGAUUUAACUUUAUAGGUAGGAGAAACAUUUUAUAUACUGUACAUAAGAUAGGAAUGCUUUUAAUGAUGGUUUAUCCUCUAUCAUAUGAAAUGGCUCUGUUCAUACUCUGUUGAAUAAUUAUACUGGCAGUAAACACUUGGUCUUUUUCUUCCUGCCUUUCUCAGACUUUCCUUGCAGUUUGAUUUUUAUUUUCCUAUUACAGAAAGACAAGGAUCCAUUGCAGCUAACAAAUUGGUUGCAGAGAAAAGCAUGGAUAUAUGACCCUAGAACAGUCUGAAGGCUUAAAAGCAAAGCAGAAGAAACUGGAAAAGGGCCAUCUCAGGCUGGCACACGAAUCCUCACUUGGUGGAAGGGGGAAACACUCUUCCCGGAUCCAUAGGGAUGUUGCAGGCACUCGCCUGGGUGGAGGAAGCAGCCCUGCUCUCUCUGGAGUGCACAAGACUCUCCAGGAUUCAGCAGGCUACUGAAGGAAUUGCUGUUGUGUUGCUGCAUGCCAAGACGUGCACGAAGCGCUGCCCUUGGGGAAAGUUCUCCAAGAUACGGCCUGGGAAUAGUCCCAACAUGUUCCUGCCUGAAGAGCUACUCCUGCCCUUCACAAGGACAGCUCUACAGGGCUGCACCGGGAAAGAGGAGACUGCAAGGAAGUUUAUUGCAGGGCCUUUGAGCAGCUUGCGACGGUGAUAUUAUUAAUAAGCAUAGUUAAACAAAACUCUUUCUCUGGUAAAAUAAUGAGGAGAAAUGCUGAGCAGGAAUGAAGACCACAAAUAU